rnacentral:rRNA from 1 species
UCAUACAAGAAACCCGAAUCAAUAGCCACCCGGCGUAAAGAGUGGCCAUAUGUUAUCAACAUAGCUAAGAUCGAAAUGCAACUAAGCUGUCAUAAGCCCAAGAUCCAUUUAAGCCCUCCAAAACCAUCUUAGCCCAACGACUAAUUUUAACCCACGAAAGCCAGGGCACAAACUGGGAUUAGAUACCCCACUAUGCCUGGCCCUAAAUCUUGAUGCCAUCAUACCCAUGCAUCCGCCUGAGAACUACGAGCACAAACGCUUAAAACUCUAAGGACUUGGCGGUGCCCCAAACCCACCUAGAGGAGCCUGUUCUGUAACCGAUAAUCCACGAUUCACCCAACCACCCCUUGCCAACACAGCCUACAUACCGCCGUCGCCAGCCCACCUAAAUGAAAGAUCAACAGUGGGCCCAACAGUCCCCCCCCCCCCACUAGCAAGACAGGUCAAGGUAUAGCCCAUGGGGUGGAAGAAAUGGGCUACAUUUUNUAACAUAGAAUAUAAACGAAAAAGGGUGUGAAACCCACCCUUGGAAGGAGGAUUUAGCAGUAAAGUGGGACCAUGUUCUUNCAAGCCUACUUUAAGAUGGCCNUGGGGCACGUACAUACCGCCCGUCACCCUNUUNAUAGGCUACUAACAUUAAUAAAUAAUACCCAUACUAANNNNAAGUCGAGGUAAGUNGUAACAA